GAGAAACUCCUUGCAGUUGGCCUUGGGAAGCUGGGGAGGACUUGAAACUUCUAAGUGGCCCUGGGAGCAACCGGAGGUGGGGUGGGCCAGUGCCUGUAGGCCUGGGCCUGCCUGGCUGAGGAUCCCAGCUGGACUACUGCCUUGCUGUCUACAAAUGAUGGAGCCCUUCCAGUCUCAGCUUCCUCACAAGUAAAAUGCAGACGGCAAUGCCUCUUUCCAGUGACGUUGUGAGGAUUCGAUGGGAAGUUUCAUGAAAGCACUUAGCAGGGUUUUUGUUGAGUGCUCAGAAGGUGAUAGUUUGGUGUUGCUAGGGGAACAGAAGCCUGGGCUGAGAACAGGCCGUGGAGAGUCACAAAUGGUCUUCAGCCGUCGGAAGGCACUGUUAGAUUUACUCUUCACAAAGAACAUUUUGGGACAUCUUGGUGUACGGAUUAGAAGGAAGGACAGAAGCUGGUGAGCUGUGGGCCACAGGGUCAGCAGGGAGGAUACUGAAGCAGUCCACAGACGCAGCUGUGAGGGUGUCCUGGAGCUGGGGAGAGGGAGAGGAGUGGAUUAGAGACGUGUUUGGAAAGUGUUAAUAAGAUAGGCAGGGCUGAGGGGAGAGAACAAGAGAGGGAGAAGGGGGUAGAUUUUGAUGAGGAGGUGACGGCAGUGACAGUGACUGAGAGGAGCAAUAAAGCCAGGAGCAGGCUGUGGGAAGAGGGAGUGGCUUCCCUCAGAAGAGGCGCCGCCUCCCUAGCAGUGAGCAAAUGUGUUUAGGAACAUGUUCUUCCUCCCAAUCCAGAGACGGAUUGCUGAGAUGAUUCCUGCUUUCCGGCUCCCCGACACCCGCUGUUCUUUAGAUCCGCUCAGCGGCGCUUUUUCCUGUGCCACGUGCCCAGAUCUGAGCGAGGCUUGGGAAGACGCGAACGGGCUGUAAAAUCUGUCCCCAGAACUGGAGAAUCCGUGGAAGGCAGAGAGAAUUUGGGAACCUCUGUGCUAUAAGCAUGGAAAAUUGGGACUCAGGUAAAAAGGCUGGUUCCUGGUCGCACAGCUGGUCAUGGGCACUUUGGCAAAGGAGUGUGAGUUUUGGGGAAGCUCAAGGAAGAGGUACCAGGUAGAGAGAGGGCCAGGGCUGAGUUCACGGGCUCUUUCUAAAUGGAAAUGUCUCACAUUCAGCUGUUGUCUGCCUUUGAGUCACACAGAACCACUUGCAGGAAGAACUCUAGAGAAUUUGGGAAGAAAGGGGGAGAGGACAGACAAAAGAUGCAUUUUUCUUUCAAGAAGCAGGAAAAUGUAAGGAAAAUUGAAGGUGUUCUCAAGUGUGUCUGCUGCUGCCUGACACAGGUUAACCCCGUCGCAGGUCACUCCGCUCUGUUAAUUGCAUCCUAACCUUCCUCGGCUCUUCGGCAGCGAAAUCGCAGCAGAGGAGAUGGAGCAGCUUCGUGCGCAUUGCUCAUUUGCGCCAACGUGAAAAGAACUGCCAGGAUGCCCAGGACACCAGCUCCCUGGCUUCUGCGGUGCUUGCACAGUCCUGAAUCAGCCCGAGAGCUGUGGAUCUGCGUCCCCUGGCUGCAUAGCCGACUGCCGGCUCCAUGGAGGGGCCUGUGCCGGAGAACGCACAUGUUGACUUAUUUCUUCAGUCUAGGCCUUUCUUGGCCCCCUUGGUUAUUCAUUCUAGAUGAUACAACUCUUAUUUCAGUUCAAAUGUCUCACGGAAGAGGCAUUGAAGACAGAGUGGAUGCCCGUGUUUGUUGGCAGUAGGUAGUAUUUACCACUCCGGUUGUAGUAAAAGAACAAAAGGAGAAAUUACACCUAUUUCUCAUAUUUAAGGGAAAAGCAAUUAAAUCACCAAAGUCAGAUUCUCGAGUAAUUGCUGGGCCCUUGGAGGGGCGGGCAAGGUGAGGUGUGAGGCCCCAGAUCUCUGUCUUGUGUGGGGCUGACACUGCCUGCUGGGGACUCCAAGCAGAGGCGGGGCCAGGGAAGGCAGCAUGCAGGGGGAAACCGAGAGCCUCUUGCCAGCCUCCCCUCCCAGCUGCUAUCCAUGCACUUGUCGUAGCUUCGCCGCUGUCCUCAGGCCAGGCAAGAGGUAGCAGGGCUCCACCUACAGAAGUUAUAGGAGGCGACUCUCAGAGCCUUGAUUUCCUCCAUUUGAAAUACUGAGAACAGUAUCUUCCAUACCUAGUUUCUAAAAGUUGUUAUGAAGAUUACGUAGAUUCAUACCUGUGAAGGCUGGUGAAAGAAUAAAACAGCCUAAACACACAAGGUGUUAAAAACAUCCCUUCCAACUAAAUAAUAGAUGAGUUGGAAUCCCAAGCAUGCUGGACAGCAGCAGUCACAGCCGAGGGGUGGGGGCCCCGUCCCUUACCAGGUGACCUCCCAUCGGUCAGGAGGACGAUGGCAUGUGGCAGUGCCGAGCACCACCUGGCUGGGAUCACUUCUCCCGCCUUCCUUUCUCCUUCUCCGGCCUGGGUCGGUAGCAUGGUCCGGAGAGCCAGCAGGCAGUCUCUCCCAGUCCGCAGAGGCAGAGGAGCGGUCUGAACGUGCAGGGCGGCCACUGCCAAGGCAGCCUGGGAUCAGGAGCUGCCCUGCACCUGGUGAUCUCUGCAAAUCAAUGCUUACCCAGAAGGAAAACCAAUUUACAUUGGUUCCUGUGGGUGCGGACAUUCCAGUCACAGAACAGCAGCUCUACAUCUAGGAGGCUCCUGAAGAACCCAAACUAACUGUGAAAAUGCAAGUGAAAAGUCCUGCUCUGGUGUGUUACAGGUGCUGCUUCUAGAAAACCCCUUUAUUAGAAAGCAGCAUGAAACCAGCGUUGGGAUAUAAGAGGAUGUGCUUUGUUAAAAGAAAACCUCUUUCUAAUACUCCCAACCAAAGGGCCAGAGGUCUUGUCUAACUAAAUGCCACCUUUCUGUGAUUCUUGGAGCUUCAUCUUCAAAGACUGAGAGGAUCCUCCUUCAUCUGAAACCUCUCAGAAAGGGAAAGGUUGGUCGUGACUUGUCCCCUCAACAAGGAACUUCAGGCACUGCCAACUGUGUUCAGUAACCCUUCUCUGACAGGUGAAUACGUGAGGGGUCCUGGAACUAUUAUGCCAAUUCUCCAUGUUGGUGGGUUGCCAACGUUUACUUGUCUUAUUGAGAAAGGAAAGAAUGAGCAAAGAAAUCUUUCCUUUUCUUUCCAGGAUGCUCUCCAGAAAAAUUCCUGCUAGCUUGACUCAGAAGAAGAGCAGCCUGUGCAUGAGCCUGUUCCCCUUGAGAAUUUCCUCUUCCUUCAUUAGUGUCUUGCGAUGGCCACAUUCUCCAUUUCUGUGACUUCCUACCAGCUUUUCAAAUGCUUAACUACAAACUAAAGUUAUUCUGGCAUUGGCAAUGUGAUCUCAGGAUUCCCACAACUAGCUUUCCUCAAGAUGAAUAUUGGGACGAGUUUGGCAGCAGACUGUAUGAUAAGGAGCACUGGAAUGGGAGUCAGAAAGCAUUGUGAACCCUACAGGGCAAGUGACUUCACCUCUCUUAAUCUCAUUGUCAUCAACUGUAAGUGAGAGUGAAUGAAGGAUGCUCCCAACUGUCAAACCCUGUAAGUUAAGAAAACCUGUGCUCCAGAGGAGAACAUGAACAUUGGCAAAAAGGUAUUUAUACAUCCUUCACCAUAUUUUUGUAGAUGAGUCUGAAAGAAUUUUGAAUUCACCUAGCAAUUGCACUAUCCUGAUUUCAUAUGGAAAACACAGUUUCAAGAAGUUAACCACAAGGCUUGCACACUGGCUGGCUUCCAGCCUUCUCCUCACAGAGUAGAUUAACUAAUCCAGACAAUUACUGUCAAACAAAGGAGCAGGUUGGAAAUUCUUGGAGGAUUUUUUUUUUUUUUUGUACAGCUUAUAUAGUUAAAUUGAGAGACCUCAAGUGGAAUUGUUUUCAUGAAUAAUUUAAGUAACUAUUCUAUUUAUCUAGUGCUUGUCGGGUAAAAAUUUACAAAAAUUAUGAAAGUUGGAUCAACUGACCAAUUUGAAGGACAAACAUGAUUCCAGCUUUCUUUUACUUUAUUUUUUCCCCUAGGACCACAGCAAUUAGAAUAAUUUUAUCAUGAGUUUGAGCAAAUAAGUCAUCCAAUCCCAAACUGAAAGUAAUUGAAAAGUAAACCAUCACAACAUCCCACCUCAAACAGGUGUAUUGGGAAGCAGUGUGUGUAUAUAGCACAUCUUAUAAAAUGAAAUAGGCAGGGUACAAAAUUUCUGAAAACAGAAUCUCUCAACUAGGACCUUCCCCAUGUGUGUGCCAUUACCUUGAUAAAUUUGAGACUUGACCAGUGGCUCAAUAAAUUUGGAGAAAACAGAAACAAUUAAGUUCUCACUUCAGAUUCAUACUUUUUAAAUUUUCUUUUAUAUUUUCAAAUUUAUGGUCUUAAUGCAGGCUAGGUAUUGCAUUUUGACAAUGGAAUCUGAAACAGCUACAACUCUAGAUUUUGUAAAUUCUUCUUCACCAUAGCAGUGGCUUAGUUUUAACUGUGAUUACUGUCUCAUUGGUCAAACUGUUUUGACAGAAAGGACAUUUUAUUGAGAGGUUAGUCCCCAAAAGACAUGCUUUGGAGAUCUUUUUCAAAUGUUCAAAUUAUGGAUGGCUUAGUUUAUACUCUUUACCCCAAAAUGAAAAUUCUGGCAUUCUCAUUAGCCUUCUCACAAAGCAAGUCUUUAAAGCUUCCCCAACACAUGUGAAAACCGAAUUUUAUGAGGAUUCAAGACCAGCCAGGAGACUUUAGUAAAGACUAGAUUUCAGAACAGCAGAUCUUUAGUUGUGCAAAGGACAUUGCUAAACUUCUGGGUUGGAAGGUAUCCUGAUAUACCUAAUUCUAUUUAUGAAACUGCAUAUGUGCUUUGAAACUCUGUUUAGAUCCAGCUCUUUCAGUUAGAGAUGGAAACCAUAUGUGUGUCUAAGGCCCUUAUGUUUUGCCUUGGAGAGUCUUAGAUUUUGUUUUGAUUUCAAACUUGGCAUCAUUUUCAGAUUUGGAGGCAUCCUGGGUAUGUCCUUGACCCUCUGUGUCAUGCAGAUACAUUUUUGUUAUCCAUUAUUACUCUUCUUAGAUGAGUCUCAGGGCCAUAUGCUUAGAAAGGUGUUGUGCCUUUCAUUCUCAGAAAAGUUAUUCUAAGUAAAACAGAGAUCCAAAGAAAAUAUGUGGAACAUUCAGGCUCACAAUCUUGUACAUAGUAAAAUAGUUUUUUGUUUAUUGUUUAUUUGAAUUAAUCAGGUCUGCUUUUCCCCUUUAUUCCUCAUUUCUUUUGUGGGAAGUGGACUAAAGCUUCUGCUGCACCACGAACCCAAGAAUUGUAGACAUAUCCCAGUGGCCAGAUGGCUGACUACCCACCGAAUCUAUCUUCCCAUUCUCUCAAGGUAAUGAGCUAGCUGUAGCCCAAUAUGUGACCUCUCAGUUGGCGGCUAUGUUUCAAGAGCCACUUGCAGGUGUGUGUCUGAGUUCCUUCCAGUGGAAUGUGAGCAGAAGGGACAGGAGACAUUUCUAGGCCCUGGGUCUGACACACAGCCUUCCCUGUGGUUGGUGCUGAACUACAGAGUAGCCGAAGACCAACUGGCUUUGAGCAUACAGGUGCAGGACUACUAUAUGAGAGAUGAAAAACCUUUGUCCUUAAAAUGAACUUUUUCCCUAAAAUCGCAUGUAGACCUUGGGGCUCAUGCAUAAGAAUUAAAGAGAAAGAGGAAAAUAAA
rnacentral:lncRNA from 10 species